UAACAUUUGAAUAGAUAAAGUGCCUUUUGCUACGGCUUAAGGAGAAUAGGGAAACAGGUGAGAAUCCUGUGCGGUAACGCCGCUGUAUCAAGAUUUCCAUCCAUCAUUUUAGCAAAUUCUUUGCUAAAAGCCACUGUUUUUACGGGAAGGUUUGGGUAGUUAACACUUGGAGUCAGAAGACCUGCUUUAUCUUACCAUCUAUU
rnacentral:ncRNA from 2 species